CCUACGGUGCGCUGCAGUGAGGAAUAUUGGUCAAUGGGCGCGAGCCUGAACCAGCCAAGUAGCGUGAAGGAUGACUGCCCUACGGGUUGUAAACUUCUUUUAUAAAGGAAUAAAGUGAGGCACGUGUGCCUUUUUGUAUGUACUUUAUGAAUAAGGAUCGGCUAACUCAGUGCCAGCAGCCGCGGUAAUACGGAGGAUCCGAGCGUUAGCCGGAUUUAUUGGGUUUAAAGGGAGCGUAGAUGGGUUGUUAAGUCAGUUAUGAAAUUUUGCGGCUCAAACGUAAAAUUGCAAUGGAUACUGGCAGUCUUGAGUACAGUAGAGGUAGGCGGAAUUCGUGGUGUAGCGGUGAAAUGCUUAGAUAUCACGAAGAACUCCGAUUGCGAAGGCAGCUUACUAAACUGUCACUGACAUUGAGGCUCGAAAGUGUGGGUAUCAAACAGGAUUAGAUACCCCAGUAGUC
rnacentral:rRNA from 1 species